GUGAAGCGGCAACAGCUCAAAUUUGAAAUCUGGCUUCGGCCCGAGUUGUAAUUUGCAGAGGAUGUUUCUGGCGCGGUGCCUUCCGAGUUCCCUGGAACGGGACGCCACAGAGGGUGAGAGCCCCGUAUGGUUGGACACCAAGCCUGUGUGAAACUCCUUCAACGAGUCGAGUAGUUUGGGAAUGCUGCUCUAAAUGGGAGGUAAAUCUCUUCUAAAGCUAAAUACCGGCCAGAGACCGAUAGCGCACAAGUAGAGUGAUCGAAAGAUGAAAAGCACCUUGAAAAGGGGGUUAAAUAGUACGUGAAAUUGUUGAAAGGGAAGCACUUAUGACCAGACUUGGGCCGGGCGGCUCAUCAGGGGUUCUCCCCUGUGCACUCCGCCCGGCACAGGCCAGCAUCGGUUCUCGUGGGGGGAUAAGACCGUCAGGAACGUAGCACCCUCCGGGGUGUGUUAUAGCCUGGCGGACGAUACCCCCGUGGGGACCGAGGUCCGCGCUCCGCAAGGAUGCUGGCGUAAUGGUCAUCAGUGACCCGUCUUGAAACACGGACCAAGGAGUCGUCCAUUAGAGCGAGCGUUUGGGUGUAAAACCCGCACGCGUAAUGAAAGUGAACGCAGGUGAGAGCUUCGGCGCAUCAUCGACCGAUCCUGAUGUUCUCGGAAGGAUUUGAGUAAGAGUUUUAACGGACGGACCCGAAAGACAGUGAACUAUGCUUGUAUAGGGUGAAGCCAGAGGAAACUCUGGUGGAGGCUCGCAGCGGUUCUGACGUGCAAAUUGAUCGUCAAAU
rnacentral:rRNA from 1 species